GGAAGUAGUCCUGUCUCCUGGAGGGCAGCCCUGGAAACGGGUGGUGAUGGAUGCAAAUCAGCACAGGUGUGCAACAUUGAUCCUGACCUGCAGGGUGUGCAAGUGAUGCCAGUAUUUCUUGUAGCUGUACUAAGGUUUUGUACCACAGGGCAAACAAAUAAAGGAACCCUAAGGGACACGUUUCCAGUUAAAUUGUAUGUGGGAUGGCAGUGUGAGGUUUGGCUUCCCAAUUUUCAUCAACCUGCAUUGGACACAUGUGAAGAAAUGAAAUACAAGAUGCUGAACGAGUUAGGAGUGACAGACGUACCAGAGGCCACUCUGGUGGAUACAGACAGCACCAUCUACUCUCCUUUCCUGUUCAACACAGGGUCACCUUGAGAGGAUUCACACCUCACUUCCUGAAGUUUUCUGCACUGUUCCAAGACUAGACUCCCAUGGAGAGAGCUACACUUCUCCGCACACACAACACCAUAAAAUCUGGAAAGUAGGCAGCAGAAAAGGACUUGAGAAACCUUUUUGUGAGAUGGUUUAUGGAGUGGCAUAUGAGCACACAUAAACCUAGACAGAUAUACAAACAUGGACUUGUUUACCCUGGUUAAAAUUCUGAACCUUCUGAAUUCUGCCAUUCAUCAGAAAACAUUUCAUCAUUCACAGACCCCUUACAAAAUAUGCACAUAUUUUCCAGGAAAUGUAAGUAGAAAAUGACAUACCAGUGGAGUUAAAUAAAACCCUAUCUGUGUAGAAGACAUUUGACUCAUUAUUCAAAAU
rnacentral:lncRNA from 1 species